rnacentral:tRNA from 2 species
GCCCCCGUAGCUCAGCGGAUAGAGCAGCCGCCUUCUAAGCGGUUGGUCGCAGGUUCGAUUCCUGCCGGGGGCG